CUCAGGUGACCUUCCUGCUUCCUGCUUCCUGCUUCCUGCUUCCUGCUUCCUGCUUCCUGCUUCCUGCUUCCUGCUUCCUGCUUCAGACUGCAGACCAGGGCUUGGACUUGGCUGUGUUCCUCUGCUGAAGGUUACAGCUACUGCUGCACAGCUGUCUUUGUACAGAUCUCCCCAGAUAAAGCCACAAUGUAAGGUUCCAGGUGGCCACACUUAUUUGGAGACACCAUUUAACACGGUUCUGCUUCUACUUCCAUGAGAACCUAGUGAAGAAGACACAGCCAGAGCUUUGAUCAAAGAUUCCAAAUGCAAAUACAACUAACCACCCAACUGGUCCCAUCAGCCAAUGUAUCUCUUUGUUACCUCAAGGGAGAUUGAUUUACGCUUUCA
rnacentral:lncRNA from 1 species